GUUUGAUUCUAUGCAAACUCAGUGAUCCUCCUUGUUUCUCUGCUAUAAAAACUUCACAUCAGACUGUCAGUGGAGAUCACAACACAUCAGUUUCACCAUAAACCAUGUUCUCUGUAGCUCUGCUGCUGCUGUUGGCAGCUGGAUCCUGUGUGAAUUGUGAACAGUUGACACAGCCAGCCUCAGUGACUGUGCAGCCAGGUCAACGUCUGACCAUUACCUGUCAGGUCUCUUAUUCUUUUAGCAGCUAUUACACAGCUUGGAUCAGACAGCCUGCAGGGAAAGAACUGGAGUGGAUUGGAAGUCGAAGUACUGGAUACACAUUCUACAAAGAUUCACUGAAGAACAAGUUCAGUAUCGACUUAGACUCUUCCAGCAACACAGUGACUCUAAACGGACAGAAUGUGCAGUCUGAAGACACUGCUGUGUAUUACUGUGCCAGAGACCCACAAUAACACAAACCAUCAGCAGACCUGAACAAAAACCCCUCAGUGCCUGAACACUUGUAACAUGAAGCCACCAGAGGAGGAGCCCUCAGACCACUAAUCAUUUCAACACCAGUUCACAAUAAAGGGAAAGAGUCUUUGAACACAUUUAACCAUGAAAAAAGCAAAACAUAUAUAACAUGAUACAUAAUUAUAAUAAUAUUAAAUAAU